rnacentral:rRNA from 1 species
AAGCAUAUCAAUAAGCGGAGGAAAAGAAACCAACAGGGAUUGCCCCAGUAACGGCGAGUGAAGCGGCAGGAGCUCAAAUUUGAAAUCUGGGGUCCCCGACCUCCGAGUUGUAAUUUGGAGAGGCAUCUUCGGGGGGGAGCGCCGGCCCAUGUUCCUUGGAACAGGACGUCGCAGAGGGUGAGAAUCCCGUGCCAGGCCGGCUGCCUCCUCCCGGGUGAAGGGCCUUCGACGAGUCGAGUUGUUUGGGAAUGCAGCUCCAAGUGGGUGGUAAAUUUCAUCUAAAGCUAAAUACCGGCGGGAGACCGAUAGCGCACAAGUAGAGUGAUCGAAAGAUGAAAAGCACUUUGAAAAUAGAGUCAAAAAGUACGUGAAAUUGUUGAAAGGGAAGCGCUUGAGACCAGACUCGGGCCCCGGCAAACACCGCGCCCCCAGGGGCCGUGCAAUUGCCGGGGGCUGGGCCAGCAUCAGUCGGCGUGGCGGGACAAAGGCGCGGGGAAUGUGGCUCCCCUCGGGGAGUGUUAUCAGGCCCGCGCUCAAUGCCGCCGACGCCGACUGAGGACCGCGCCUCGGCUAGGAUGCUGGCUUAAUGGCCUUCAGCGACCCGUCUUGAAACACGGACCAAGGAGUCUAACAUCUAUGCGAGUGUUUGGGCGCCAAACCCUUGCGCGGAAUGAAAGUGAGCGGAGGUGGGAACCCCCCAGCGGGGCGCACCAUCGACCGAUCCUGAUGUCUUCGGAUGGAUUUGAGUAGGAGCAUAGCUGUUGGGACCCGAAAGAUGGUGAACUAUGCCUGAAUAGGGUGAAGCCAGAGGAAACUCUGGUGGAGGCUCGCAGCGGUUCUGACGUGCAAAUCGAUCGUCAAAUUUGGGUAUAGGGGCGAAAGA